AAAAACAAGUUGCAAAUGUCAAAUACAAAAAUGAAUCGAAUUUAAUUCUGUGAAAAUAUCCAAGCGAAAAGAAAAAUGUAUUUCACAAUCAAGAGGAUAAAAGAAAAAGAUGAACGCGGGAGAAUUUGAGGUUUGUUAAGGUGUUGAAGGACUUGGGGUCUUGGGAGGUAGCAGAUGAUUCAGAGAGGACACCUUUAUGUUUGCGGGGAAGGGCAGGAUGCGUACCUUGCUGCAUUUGUAUAAAACAACGAAGGAUAACAAAAAUCGAACGAGUUCCUGUUCGUACUUCGGUCUGUAUGAGGAGCUAACGGAUGAGAUAUUUGGCAAUGGCAAAAUUAUCUCUGACGCACAUACGAUGCAUUUAGAGAGGGA